CGUUAGCUUAGCUUUCUGUUAGCUGAUAGUUUGUUGUUUGUCUUUCCAUGAAGAGGAGCUUGACGGAAAAUCCGACUCGGGGAUCGACGUCGCUCUCUUCACGAAAUAAAAGCCCGAUGCUGAGAAAUACGGUGGCUGGCCACAGCUCCUUCACCACCACCACCCCCUCCUCCAACCUGUGGUAACCAGCCUUGUACAAUCGGUUCUCCACUGUGCCCUGAACAUGCUGCCAUACCAAUCAAUUCUAAACAGAGCCUUCCAGUCCAAGAGACAAAUCCUUCAUCGGAAACUCUAUAUCAUGCAGACGAUGCACCAGCUUCACCACUGCUCCCAGAGCAAAGUGGACCCGAGUCUCCACUGUCACAAGGACAAGAAGACAAUCCCUCUGAUAGUGAAGAGAAACACGGUCCAGUGCAGGAAACCGACCCUGCACCACAGAUGACAGAGCAACAGGAUGAAGCAGACAUUCAGAUGGACCAGAUUUCAGAGGACCAAUUGCCCUGAAGCACUUUAGUUACUUAAAAACAAAAAAAUCUACAUUACUUGAAAAUGCUGUUCUGAACUGCGCUGACAGUGUAACAUCACCCUCAGUCAUCAUUAUCCUCAUUACUUACAGCUGAAUUUACUUUUUUCAUUCAAAUUCCAGCCAUAUACUUUAUAGUGCCUUUUGAGAAACUCUGAACCAAACUGAGCUUAAUAGUUAUUUUAUAAAUUAUAAGGCACUUGGUAAAAGCACUUUGAGUGUAUAUUGUUGCCACUAUUUAUUAAAGAGAAAAUUUUAAAGACAUAGGCAGGAACAUGUUGUUGGAAAUGUACAGAAUGGAAUUAUGUGCAUUACUAAAUUGUGGAAGUAACCUUUUAUUUAUGGUAUAUUCCCUAAGCUUAGAGUACCUUAUUCAAAUGUACAAUUACAUUGCUUGGGAUUUUUAAAAUGAUCUAAUUUUAUUGUGUUUAUUUAAAUGCACAUUUGGACCAGUUUUUUUUUUUUGUCACUUUACAAAAUGUCACCAUAAAUUAAACUCAAGCCUGCUUUGAA